rnacentral:snRNA from 1 species
AUCUUUGUGCUUGGGGCAAUUACGCAGCUAAUAAUGUACUAACUGAGGCGUGUCUAUUGCUGGUUGAAAACUAUUUCCAAACCCCCUCUUAGGCUUGGGGUCUCAGACCCCAAGCCUUUAUUAGGUAUUAGGUACUAGUAUC